UCCACCCAUACACCUACACACACAACACUCACAUAUAUAUACAUAUUCCAUUCAUACACAUAGGGGGAACGGAGAUAAAAAAGGGAUACAUUACUAAGAGCCCCAUUUUUUUUUAUUUCUUCCUCACAAUAACAAUAGGGUCCAUUUUUUUUUUCUCUUCUUUCACUAAACUCAUGCCAUAGACACACACCAAAACUUCACCAUACGCACACACACGAUAGAGUUUAAGGGAGAUGGAGUUUCGGAGAGGAGAUACAAGCUGAAGUCGAGAGAGAGAAUCGCGAAGACAGAUCGAGAUCAGAAGUUCGAAAGAGAUGAUUUUGACCGGAAAAUCAGCUUGAAAAAAGCCUGUUCGGGUCGAUUCCAGCUUAUUUGGGUCGAUUCCGACAAAGUUCAGACUGAAUCCAGCGAGAAUUGGGGGUGCGGGUCUUAUUCUUCCUUGAUUUUUGUGGAGAAAUAUAGCCGAAAAGUACUGGGGUUUCUUGAUAUCGUUUCAAUUUCCUAAAUACUGAGCUGGACAGAUUUGUCGUUGGAGCUUAAGUCGAGGUUGUCGGAGGCGGGUUUUGUUUAUCUCGUCGAAUAAUAUUGGUCAAAGAGCGGUUUAAGGUCCAUCCCUCAACUCUAUAUUCUUGUUAUUGUCUCAAAUGUGUUUAAUUAUUGUGAUUAUGUGUGAUGUGAUCGUAGUGGGUGAGUUUUGUUGACGUUAGAUGUCAUGACUUUGUGCUUCACAGUGUGUUUUCGAUGCAACAUGGAAUGAAUAUGAGUAGUAGUUGGUGUAAUUGAUGAAAAAUGAAAGCCAACGUGGGUGGUUAGAAUUGACAUUGAUAAAAGCAAUCAUUAAUUUAUUUUGAUUCAUUAAAUGGCGUUGAAAUGAAUAGGCGAAUAUAGGUUGGGUAAGCAAAGUUUAGGACUCGUUUUUUUUUUUUGAAUAUUUGAGAUUUUGUUAAAUAGUUUGAUUUUCUCGCACUAAAAGUGUAUUCAUUUGCCCGGGGAAUGCCCCGAGGUAUUUGUGUUUAUUCGCCGGGGAAUGCCCCGAAGUAUUUUGUACCCGGAGGACGUUCGUGACGAAGACACGAGGCAGCGGGUUAGAGUUUAGUUUAGGACUAGUUUAGAAUAGAAUAGGUUUUACCUUUCCAUAUGUUUUUUUAUUUUUGGACUGUAUAAUUGAACUGAACAAUAUUAUUUUGGUUUUGGAAUUGUUGUUUGA